rnacentral:rRNA from 1 species
AUUGAACGCUGGCGGCAUGCUUUACACAUGCAAGUCGGACGGCAGCGCGGGCUUCGGCCUGGCGGCGAGUGGCGCACGGGUGGGUAAUACAUCGGAACGAGCCCAGUGGUGGGGGAUCGCUCGGCGAAAGCCGGAGUAAUACCGCAUACGACCUGAGGGUGAAAGCGGGGGAGCUUCGGACCUCGCGCUACUGGAGCGGCCGAUGUCAGAUUAGCUAGGUGGUGGGGUAAAGGCCUACCAAGGCGACGAUCUGUAGCUGGUCUGAGAGGACGACCAGCCACAGUGGGACUGAGACACGGACACGACCCCGACGGGAGGGAGAAGUAGGGGAGUUUGGAAAAAGGGCGAAAGCCGGAUCCAGCAAUGCCGCGUGUGUGAUGAAGACCUUCGGGUUGGAAAGCUCUUCUGCCGGGGACGAAGAGGAAGGUGCCAAUAUCACGGUGUGAUGACGGUACUGGCAGAAGAAGCACCGGCUAACUACGUG